rnacentral:rRNA from 1 species
GACGAACGCUGGCGGCGUGCCUAAUACAUGCAAGUCGAGCGAACAGACGAGGAGCUUGCUGCUCUGACGUUAGCGGCGGACGGGUGAGUAACACGUGGAUAACCUACCUAUAAGACUGGGAUAACUUCGGGAAAGCGGAGCUAAUACCGGAUAAGAUAUUGAACCGCAGGGUUCAAUAGUGAAAGACGGUUUUGCUGGCAGUUAUAGAUGGUUCCGGGCCGCAUUAGCUAGUUGGGAAGGUAACGGCUUACCAAGGCAACGAUGCGUAGCCGACCUGAGAGGGGGAUCGGCCACACGGGAACUGAGACACGGUCCAGACUCCUACGGGAGGCAGCAGUAGGGAAUCUUCCGCAAUGGGCGAGAGCCUGACGGAGCAACGCCGCGUGAGUGAUGAAGGUCUUCGGAUCGGAAAACUCUGUUAUUAGGGAAGAACAAAUGUGUAAGUAACUAUGCACGUCUUGACGGUACCUAAUCAGAAAGCCACGGCUAACUACGUG